UACAGAGGUGGCAAGCGUUGUUCGGAAUUACCGGGCGUAAAGGGCGCGUAGGUGGCCAUCUAAGUCAGACGUGAAAUCCCCCGGCUUAACCUGGGAACUGCGUCUGAUACUGGACGGCUUGAGUAUGGGAGAGGAACGUAGAAUUCCAGGUGUAGCGGUGAAAUGCGUAGAUAUCAAGAGGAACACCAGUGGCGAAGGCGAGUCCCUGGACGAUACCUGACACUGAGGCACGAAAGCCAAGGGAGCAAACAGG
rnacentral:rRNA from 1 species